CGAAAGCCUGACGGAGCAACGCCGCGUGAGGGAUGAAGGCCUCUGGGCUGUAAACCUCUUUUCUCAAGGAAGAAGAUCUGACGGUACUUGAGGAAUAAGCCACGGCUAAUUCCGUGCCAGCAGCCGCGGUAAUACGGGAGUGGCAAGCACUAUCCGGAAUUAUUGGGCGUAAAGCGUCCGCAGGCGGCCUCGUAAGUCUGUCGUUAAAGCGUGGAGCUUAACUCCAUUUCAGCGAUGGAAACUGUGAGGCUUGAGUGUGGUAGGGGCAGAGGGAAUUCCCGGUGUAGCGGUGAAAUGCGUAGAUAUCGGGAAGAACACCAGUGGCGAAGGCGCUCUGCUGGGCCAUAACUGACGCUCAUGGACGAAAGCCAGGGGAGCG
rnacentral:rRNA from 1 species